UGGUGGCGGUGGUGGCCUCUGUAUUCUGUUUCCCCUUCGUGGAGUGGAGGGGGGGGGGGGAUGGGGAUUGGUCUGUAUGGAGGCUGGCAUGGACGGGAGGAGGCCGGAGCGGAGGAGAGAGUCGAUGGCAAGGAAGCCUGAUUGCGGCGGAAGAAGGGGGCAGGGUCGCCGUGCCCGGUGCUCCAAGGUGGGAAGAGGGGGAGGGGAAGGUCUGUUGCCGUCUCUCUUUGACGUCUUGUUCUGCUCACGAUUGUCUGCGCCAUUCUGAAUGCAUUUCUGUGGGUCCUUUGUCUUCUUCGCUCGUUCUGGUCUGGUGGGGUUUCUGCGUUGUCGGGGUGGGCUCUGCCGGGAUUUCUGAUCCCCUUUUGCUCUUCGUCUGAUUGGUGCUGAUUUCCUUCCGUUCCGGCGUGUGCAGCCUUUCAGAGCAUUCCUCGCGUUGCUUCUCUCAGAUUGAGAAGAACUCUGCAUGCUAGCGUUGAUUUUUUUCUUCUUCCUGUGCUGGGGGUGUUCGAGUCAUACUCAGUGCCCCUCAUCUCAUCUGGCGACGAAAUGAUGGUUAACCUCGAAGAGGAAAAACAAGGCAUGUGCAAUAGACGCAUCCGGCUUUCAGUAGAUGGAACGCCUGAAGAAAUUCAGCAUGUACCUGGACCCUCUUCUGACGGAGAUUCGCCCUCCUCCCAUGUCCUUCAUCUGUACGGAGGUUCUUCAAGCAGGUGGCCGACAGAGUGUUUGGGAAUUUUUGGAAAUCCUGGCUGCCCAGGUGCAUUCUCUGGCCUCAAUGGAUCUGGAUUAUAAUUGUGCCGGAUGAAGGUAUUUUGGGUUUGGAUCUCCACAGAAAGUUGCCUCUUCUCCCGUGUAGAGAACUCGAAAGAGUAAUACUCAGUGUUGUUGGAUUCUCAAUCGGAUCUGGAUGAAGUUAUUUUCGGUAGCAGAAGAUCCUGAAAUUGGGCGAGACCGGCAAUGAUUUGAAAAUGAUUUUGCAUAACUUUGGUUGAACUAUUUUCCUGUCAUUAUCUCAUCAACUGUUUUUGGGAAGAACUAUCGAUGUUCAUAACUUUGCUUUCGCUUCAUUCUUUUAAAUAUUAAACAUUUUAUUUGCCGUCUAGCACUAUCUUUCCAGAAAUAUUUGGUUUAAAUUCAAGCAUUAUGCUCCGAAUGUCGGAUUAAUUACAUGUAAACACGUUUAGACGAGUUAAUUUAUUUAACAACCGAUCCUAACUGUCAAUGUGAUUUCUUUCUAUGCUCUUCUAGGACUCCCAGGAAAUUAUUUUCAUUUUGCUUGAAUCUCUUGAUCAUUAAGAGUAACUUUGUGCUAAUCACGUCGGCGCUAUAAUAACCUUGCAACAUCAGCUUCCGUAGGUUCACAUCUGUUCUGCCCAAGCAUGCGGUAGGGACGAAGCUGAGAGAAUCUGAAGGCUUGGAAAGUUUGUUUAUCUCGUUUGAUUUCAAGCUGACCACGGGUUCCCUCUCGUUCUCCUCCCAAAGACUUUUUAAGCGAUAAACUCUCCCACACAGCGCUGUAAUCAAGUGAGGCAACUCGUCUGCCAGAUGCCAGAACAGGACUCAUCCUCUACUCAGUCAACCAGUCAAUCUCGUAGCGUUUUGGAGGAUUUGAGGCAUGGGAUCUCAAAUAUCCAGUCUUUCAAGCCACACCCCGGUAUGAAUUACCACAGCUUACUCUAAUGUGCUCCCAACUAUUUUUCUUGAUUUUUUUCCCUUUUAUAAAACCAACAUCAUCUGUGCUCAAACUUUGUGGCAUUGGUGUUCACACAUUGUGGCACCUGACCUCGAUUAGCUUGGUCUUUUGGUGUGGUCAAUGGGUUUAUUUUACCUCUUUUCUUUUAUUUUGUCUUCAGCAAUAGCUUGGCUUUGAAGUUUGUUCGUUUAUGGUCAACGAGUCCGCUAAGUCAACUGGGGUCGACCACAUGCAGUGAUUUCUCACUCUUUACAUCAUCUGCAAUUUCAUAGAUUAAUCCAUCAUAAGUAUUUGAUGGCAUUACUUGUCUGGUUAUGAUUGGUUCCCUGGAUGCGUUUUAGACUUUAAUCCAUUGCCACUUCUUUUUCACUUUCCAUUUUUUUCUUCACGAAAAUUAUUUGUAGGAUCUCAUUUAUUAGAUGAUAUUGGGCCGGUUAUUUGGCUUUAUCCAUGAUUUGCAAGUAAUUUUCAUGGGGAGUUCUUGCCGAGAUCCCCCAGAAGAGUAAUCUCUACCAGUUUUCGGCAAUCCUAUGAACCUCAUUUAAUGAUCAUUUAAUGAUCUGCUUGAAUGUGUGAGCAUAUCAUAUUCUCCUGGGGAAUCUCAAUGAGCGACCCUGUGUUUCUGAUUCUGGUUCUUUCAUCAGGCGAAGAUAGGAGCGAUGUGAAGGCCGCUGAAGAACAUGGAAGCCCGGCUCUAUCGUCGGGACCAAUGGGAGUCUUCUCGAUCCAAAACCCUGAUUACAGGCAGCCCAUCUUGAGUUCAUCUGGUGUAGUAAGGAUAUAUUUAUAUACAUGCAUUUAUAUAUAUAUAUAUAUUUGAUCACUUCAUAUAUAUAUAUUUUUUGUGUGAUUAUCCGUCAUUUUAUUUUACUCAAUCUCUGCCACAGAAUUGCAUUCCCUACACGUAUGUGGAACCCUACUACGGAGGCUUCAUGGCUGCCUAUGGAGCUCAUUCUUUCGUAAGUGGGUCCUGGAUCCUUUUUUUUUUUAAUUUUCCUCAUUGAUUCUCCAAACAUACCCAAAUACCCAAGAUAGCAUAUUUUUGUGCUUUCUUUUCAUUUUUCUUUUUAUUUUUCUUUUUGAGGAAAAAAAUUCCUACCUCCCGGUUCUUUGGUUCUUUCUCAUGAGGCAUCAUGGGUGAGCUCUCAAGUACCUCUAGAAAUGCGCCGGUUUCUCUCUCUUCAAGUGUGAGCUCUCAAGUGCCAGGACGGGUGGUGGAGCUCUCACUAGCGAACCCAGAUGCCCAAAGUGCGAUGCCAUGUUCUUCAUUCAUGAGCAGUCGAGCCUCUCUCUCUCUCUCUNNNN
rnacentral:lncRNA from 1 species